CAGUAGCCGCGGUAAUACGUAGGGUGCAAGCGUUAAUCGGAAAUACUGGGCGUAAAGCGUGCGCAGGCGGCUUUGCAAGACAGAUGUGAAAUCCCCGGGCUCAACCUGGGAACUGCAUUUGUGACUGCAUGGCUAGAGUACGGUAGAGGGGGAUGGAAUUCCGCGUGUAGCAGUGAAAUGCGUAGAUAUGCAGAGGAACACCGAUGGCGAAGGCAAUCCCCUGGACCUGUACUGACGCUCAUGCACGAAAGCGUGGGGAGCAAACAGGAUUAGAUACCCGUGUAGUCCCUGUCUCUUAUAC
rnacentral:rRNA from 1 species